CCUACGGGGGGCAGCAGUGAGGAAUAUUGGUCAAUGGGCGCGAGCCUGAACCAGCCAAGUCGCGUGAGGGAUGAAGGUCCUAUGGAUGGUAAACCUCUUUUAUAAGGGAAUAAAGUGUGGGACGUGUCCGAUUUCGUAUGUACCUUAUGAAUAAGGAUCGGCUAACUCCGUGCCAGCAGCCGCGGUAAUACGGAGGAUUCGAGCGUUAUCCGGAUUUAUUGGGUUUAAAGGGUGCGUAGGCGGCCUUUUAAGUUAGCGGUGAAAGGCUGUGGCUCAACCCUAGAAUUGCCGUUGAAACUGGGGGGCUUGAGUGUGUUUGAGGCAGGCGGAAUGCGUUGUGUAGCGGUGAAAUGCUUAGAUAUCACGCAGAACCCCGAUUGCGAAGGCAGCCUGCCGAGCCAUGACUGACGCUGAUGCACGAAAGCGUGGGGAUCAAACAGGAUUAGAUACCCGAGUAGUC
rnacentral:rRNA from 1 species